GGAGGAUCGAUCAAUUAUUGUCGCCCACUGUUUGGCGUCUCUUUCUCUUCUCCGUGACGACGAUAACAACGAAGACGCCGCUUUACCUUCUUGGCCAUCUCACGCCGUCGGUGGAUGAUCCAGAAUGGGACGUGAUAUGAGAUGAAAUGGAUGCGUCGGCCGUCUCCAUCAAUGGAAUCGUGAGAAAGACGAAUGGGUUUGUCGAUUUGGGGGAGAUAAAAGAAGGAAAUUUAUUACCAAGAUAUAUAUAUGUAUUCUUGUUGUCGACCCAAAUAAGGCUUGUGUUCUUGGAGGAGGAAGGCUGUGGUGGCGGCGGCGGCGAUGGAGGCUACCAACACGAGGCCCUUGAUGCAGAAGGUGUACCACGAGAACUGCCCCGGCUGCAAGCAGGAGCAGAGGAGCGACGGCCAUGUGGGAAUCCCGUACAGGGAGUUCUUCUGCAUCUGUGUCCUCAUACUCUGCUACGGAUAGUUUAUCGCUCUCUAAAAUAUGUAAAUUGGGUUGAGGCAGUGGAAGACUAGAAGAUUUUGGGGCAAAUAUUUUGUACUUGAUAGGUUGAUGUUGUAUAAGUUCUUUUUGGGUGUAAUGAAAUAUCAAUGACAAAUCUAGAUUGAUGUAUCUUGUAAAUAUUUGAAAAGUAUCUCUUACUUCAGGAUUUUGGAAAUGUUAAGUUUAAACUAUGUACUGAUAUAAACAUGUAGUACAUGUUGGUUUUGUGAUUGCAUUAAUUGCCACGCUUAUGGAUUUAUGAUAUAGUUAUGGUUUAGUUAAGUUGCUUUUGGAUUUUAAAGAAUCAUCUAGUGACAUGAUGUAUGAUGUAUGAUUAUAAAUUACACAG